GUAGUCCACGCCCUAAACGAUGGAUACUAGGCGUAAGAGGUAUCGACCCCUCUUGUGCCGCAGCUAACGCACUAAGUAUCCCGCCUGGGGAGUACGGCCGCAAGGUUGAAACUCAAAUGAAUUGACGGGGACCCGCACAAGCGGUGGAGCAUGUGGAUUAAUUCGAUACUAACCGAAGAACCUUACCCAGGUUUGACAUCGAUUGCAACAUCCAGAGAUGGGUGCCUCCCCCACAAGGGGACAUGAAGACACUUGUUGCAUGGCUGUCGUCAGCUCGUGCCGUGAGGUGUACGGUUAAGUCCGCCAACGAGCGCAACCCUCGUCCUAUGUUGCCAGCGGGUAAUGCCGGGAACUCAUAGGAGACCGCCGGUGUAAAUCGGA
rnacentral:rRNA from 1 species